rnacentral:rRNA from 1 species
GUNCUCGCGAACUGCAUCUAUGAUUAGAGUUUGAUCAUGGCUCAGAGUGAACGCUGGCGGUAGGCCUAACACAUGCAAAGUCGAACGGCAGCACAGGAAGAGCUUGCUCUCAUGGGUGGCGAGUGGCUGGACGUGGUGACGGAAUACAUCGGAAUUCUACUCAUGUCGUGGGGGAUAACAGUAGUGNGAAACUUACAGCUAAUACCGCAUACGACCUACGGGUGAAAGCAGCGGAUGAUCGUUUCAGGGAACCCUAUGCCGCUGAUAUGCAAAUUGAGACACA